GAUGGCCACGCGCGUGGAGCACCGGCUUCAGUUCCACCGGCGCGGCCAUGGAGAUAGGCCACCGUCACCGCCUCUCCGUGGCAUACCAUCAUCGCCGGUCGGGGCUCAUGUAGAGGCAGUCCACCGUCCUCUACAUUUGGUGACCCGGACAAAGAAGAUCACGUCCGGAGCAAUUCGGCCCUUCACCAUCCCAAAUUUCUGACCACGCCAUCGAGCAGCUCUACCUCCGGCACACACGGCCCACCUUCACUCCUACCGCACUCUUCGCUCUCUCUCACCUACGCUUCUCUCUUCGCUCAAGUCUUCUCACGCUUCUCACUGCCGGCCGCGACACUCGAGCCUUGCGCUCACCUGCCGGUUGCGGCAGUCGCGGCAGCCGCCGCCUCGGCACGCUUAAGCCCGUCUCGGCACCUCACUCACUCCACCUGGGACUAUCGAGCUUCGGCUCCCGUGCCGGUCGCGGCACCCCAGGACCACGACACCGAGCGCCUCACUCUCUCUGCGACGGAUCGCUGUUCCCGUCCACACCUACCACAAGGAUGACUACCUACACACGGAUGCUGUUCCCGUCCUCAUCCCCUCUGAAACGCCGCCAACGUGUGCCGUGCCCCUGUUCGACCACACGUCACCACGUCUAUACGCCUACCACGGUCGCCCUUAACUCCAGCUCUUGCGAUGCGUCCGCAACGCAUCUGACGGCCGGGGGACCCCUGUAGCGGACGACGACAACGACGACAACGAUGGCCACGCGCGUGGAGCACCGGCUUCAGUUCCACCGGCGCGGCCAUGGAGAUAGGCCACCGUCACCGCCUCUCCGUGGCAUACCAUCAUCGCCGGUCGGGGCUCAUGUAGAGGCAGUCCACCGUCCUCUACACAGAUUGCCUCUCUGGUACCUGGAAAUCUACAGCCACUGCAGAACUCCUAUGACUCGUAUGCUUCAAGAAUAUUUGAUGUCAUUAUCAAUGGGACAAGUACAAAUGAGGUUCCUGUGGAGCGUCGGAUUGAUUCUGAGGCAUGUCUCAGCAGUGAAGGUCUGUGGAAUGAGGGCAGACAUGAACAAGACACCUCAACCUCAACAGGCCAGGCCACCACAGAAAUAUCUCAUUCUGAAAGUCUAGCCGCUACAGCAGGAGCACCAUGUCUACCAGGUGUCCCAGGGACAAGCAGGCAAGUGCACCACACCUCGUCACGUAGGAGGCCUGCACCACCUCGACGCUCUGUGAUGCAGCCAGCACAGAGAUCUGCAUUGUGGUACAAAAAACUGGCAAAAUCGAAAAUCACGCUAAACCAGAAGAGGUUGGACGUAGCAAAGCUCGAGGAAUCCAUAGCUAAGGAAAAAUUGAUUCACGCACAGAUGGACACCGAGUACAAGGCUUUACUCCUUGAGUCAGCUCAGCUGGAUUUGGAAAUAAAACGAAGAAAAUUAAAUACAUGAGUGUGGGAACACACAAUGGCUAUAUCCUCUACGACAAUGCAUUUAUUGCUGCAAAAUCACAUUGAAUACCUUAGGACAAGAAACUUCAGAAGAGUGAGUGAGAGAACAUGAAGGGCUCACUGACACAAUUCCCUCUGCGGCUUAUGUCUGUGAGCUUCCACAAGAGACUUUUUGCCCGCUCCAAAAAUUAUCAGAUUACAGUCAACCCUCGAUUUAUGAACACCCUCGGUUCCCGGAAAAAUCGUUCAUAAAUCGAGGGAUUCAUGAAUAGAAAAUUCCGCUAAGUCAGUACUAUCGAGCUGACGAAACAGUAUUUGCGAGUUGGGACUGUGUUUAUAAUGCAGUAUAUUGUGUAAUUUUGCUUUCGACCAUGCCUUCUGCUGUACACUUGGUCAUCCCUGAUGCGUCCCAGGGAAACCCAUUUAUUCGGAUUUCGAGGGGUUAAAACCAAGGGUGCAAUAUCUGGAAAAAGAUUUGUCCGUUCCGGUGUCAUUCAUAAGACAACGGAAUAAUCCCUUUGAAGGUUUCUGUUGACACCGGAACGAUCCGUUUAUAAAUUGAGGGCAAAAACGCUAGGCAACUCCUAGUUGGUUCCCAGAAAUUCCAUUCGUUAUUCGAAUAUCGAGGUUCAUAAAACGAGGGAAAAAUGCAUGUAAAAUGUUUGGUUCCUCGUGCUCCUGUUCAUAAAACAAGGGAAUUCACAAAUCGAAGGUUCAUAAAUCGAGGGGUUGACUGUAUAACCAAAAUGUCGAUUCCAGUGUUACCAGUUCUGAACUCACAAAGCAUCCAGGAAUGCCAAAAUUUUAGGGAAGACCUAAGA